GGGGGGGGGGGGGGGGGGGGGGGGGGGGGGGGGGGGGGGGGGGGGGGGCGGGGUGGGGGGCGGGCGGGUGGGGGGCGCGUGGGGAGGUGGCGUGAGGGUCGGGAUCACUCGGGGGAGCUUGUGCUAAUGCCGAGUGGGCCCGUGGGGGGAAAGACUAAUCGCCUGUAGAGCGGCGCGCGUCUGAUUGGCUAGUUGGUUGAGGUCAUGGCCCACCAAGGCGACGAGCAGUAGCCGGGCUGAGAGGAUGAGAAGCAACAUUGGGACUGAGACACGGCCCAAACUCCUACGGGAGGAAGCAGUGGGGAAUCUUGCGCAAUGGGCGAAAGCCUGACGCAGCCAUGCCGCGUGAAUGAGGAAGGUCUUAGGAUUGUAAAAUUCUUUCACCGGGGACGAUAAUGACGGUACCCGGAGAAGAAGCCCCGGCUAACUUCGUG
rnacentral:rRNA from 1 species